CACAAAAAAUGUUCUUUUACAUUUUAAACCACAUUGUGAACCCAAAAACCUAUACUGCUUCGGUAGCAGGCCCGUUCCGUUUUUUCGGUUUCGGUGCUGUCAGCCUGCCGGUAGCACCCCCCAAUUAAACUUGUUUUCGUAAAUUAGUCUGAACAGAAUCAUUUUCGAAUGAAAAUUA
rnacentral:misc_RNA from 1 species